GCCACCUUAGCUCAGCUGGUAGAGCAACGCAUUCGUAAUGCGUGGGUCGGCGGUUCAAUUCCGCCAGGUGGCU
rnacentral:tRNA from 1 species